CAGUAGCUAGUCAUUUCAGUUACUUUAUUCGGACACAAAUAAAAGCCAAACUUACAAAGAGAAGUUUGCAAUAAAUUGUUUUAACCUAAAUAUCUAUUCAAAUCAAUUGCAAACACACAACACACACACAAACUCACUAAUCUAAUCUAAAUUAACACACAAGAAAAGAUCAAAAAAGUGAAAACACAAUCAAAUACAGCGCACACACAGCCGCCCAGGUGGCUAGCCAGCCCAGCUAUCCCAUAACUGUGAAGCCAAGCCACCACAACGCGACCUCUUCACCACCGCGACACGACCUUUGCUCCACCGCAACCUCGUUGCAAUAUGCCCCCCUGCAGCCUCUACUGCAGCUUAUUUGACUUCAAACGCGCCGUCUCGAAGCUGACCGACAGCCACCUCUUAGAUCCAAGCUGAACGACAGCCGCCUAGCACCAAUAGUGAAGAUUUGUUUCAUGCUAUAUGUUAAAUAAUUAAUUUCAAUUUCCGAUGGCAUUUUUAGUUGUUUAAAUUCAAUAUUUUUUUAUGCGUAAUGAUUUUUGAUCAGUUACUUUUUUAUUAGUAUUAGCUUCCUUUUGAUCAAUUGUAAGUUCCUGAGUCGGUUUUGGUUUAAAAUUCUCCACCAAAGAUAAUUAGUCAAG
rnacentral:lncRNA from 1 species